GGAGGGUGCAAGCGUUAUCCGGAUUCACUGGGUUUAAAGGGUGCGUAGGUGGGUUGGUAAGUCAGUGGUGAAAUCCCCGAGCUUAACUUGGGAACUGCCAUUGAUACUAUCAGCCUUGAAUACCGUGGAGGUCAGCGGAAUAUGUCAUGUAGCGGUGAAAUGCUUAGAUAUGACAUAGAACACCAAUUGCGAAGGCAGCUGGCUACACGAAUAUUGACACUGAGGCACGAAAGCGUGGGGAUCAAACAGGAUUAGAUACCCUGGUAGUCCACGCCCUAAACUAUGGAUACUCGACAUACGCGAUACACUGUGUGUGUCUGAGCGAAAGCAUUAAGUAUCCCACCUGGGAAGUACGAUCGCAAGAUUG
rnacentral:rRNA from 1 species